rnacentral:rRNA from 1 species
AGUGAACGCUGGCGGUAGGCCUAACACAUGCAAGUCGAACGGCAGCACAGUAAGAGCUUGCUCUUACGGGUGGCGAGUGGCGGACGGGUGAGGAAUACAUCGGAAUCUACUUUUUCGUGGGGGAUAACGUAGGGAAACUUACGCUAAUACCGCAUACGACCUACGGGUGAAAGCAGGGGAUCUUCGGACCUUGCGCGAAUGAAUGAGCCGAUGUCGGAUUAGCUAGUUGGCGGGGUAAAGGCCCACCAAGGCGACGAUCCGUAGCUGGUCUGAGAGGAUGAUCAGCCACACUGGAACUGGGACACGGUCCAGACUCCUACGGGAGGCAGCAGUGGGGAAUAUUGGACAAUGGGCGCAAGCCUGAUCCAGCCAUACCGCGUGGGUGAAGAAGGCCUUCGGUUUGUAAAGCCCUUUUGUUGGGUAAGAAAAGCAGCAGGUUAAUACCCCGCUGUUCUGACGGUACCCAAAGAAUAAGCACCGGCUAACUUCGUG